GGGGGUGUCCAUGUGUGUGGCUGUUCUGAAUGUGAAGGGGGUGUCCAGGUGUGAGGUUGUUCUGAAUGUGAGGGGGGUGACCAGGAGUGGGGCUGUUCUGAAUGUGAGGUGGGUGUCCAGGUGUGGGGCUGUUCUGAAUGGAAGGGGGUGUCCAGGUGUGGGGCUGUUCUGAAUGUGAGGGGGGUGUCCAGGUGUGUGGCUGUUCUGAAUGUGAGGGGGGGAUGUCCAGGUGUGUAUCUAGCAGUGUGUGGCUUUCCCGGGGGCCAGAGGGGACCAGGCUGCCCAGGUACAGGUCAAGACCAGGAGCUGUGAUAGCUGCUAUGGGCUGUUCUACUCCAGUACAGAUUUCCAUUCACAAGUGCAGGGUGGAUGUUUUCUGAGAUCACUUCUUCUAAGUGCUGCAAUGCAUAAAUUGAAGAUUG